rnacentral:rRNA from 1 species
UACCCUUUUCUACGGAAUAGCUCUGGGAAACUGGAAUUAAUACCGUAUACGCCCUACGGGGGAAAGAUUUAUCGGGGAAGGAUUGGCCCGCGUUGGAUUAGCUAGUUGGUGGGGUAAAGGCCUACCAAGGCGACGAUCCAUAGCUGGUCUGAGAGGAUGAUCAGCCACAUUGGGACUGAGACACGGCCCAAACUCCUACGGGAGGCAGCAGUGGGGAAUAUUGGACAAUGGGCGCAAGCCUGAUCCAGCCAUGCCGCGUGAGUGAUGAAGGCCUUAGGGUUGUAAAGCUCUUUCACCGAUGAAGAUAAUGACGGUAGUCGGAGAAGAAGCCCCGGCUAACUUCGUGCCAGCAGCCGCGGUAAUACGAAGGGGGCUAGCGUUGUUCGGAAUUACUGGGCGUAAAGCGCACGUAGGCGGAUAUUUAAGUCAGGGGUGAAAUCCCAGAGCUCAACUCUGGAACUGCCUUUGAUACUGGGUAUCUUGAGUAUGGAAGAGGUAAGUGGAAUUGCGAGU